GACGAACGCUGGCGGCGUGCCUAAUACAUGCAAGUAGAACGCACAGUUUAUACCGUAGCUUGCUACACCAUAGACUGUGAGUUGCGAACGGGUGAGUAACGCGUAGGUAACCUGCCUGGUAGCGGGGGGUAACUAUUGGAAACGAUAGCUAAUACCGCAUAAUAUUGAUUAUUGCAUGAUAAUUGAUUGAAAGAUGCUAUUGCAUCACUACCAGAUGGACCUGCGUUGUAUUAGCUAGUAGGUGAGGUAGCGGCUCACCUAGGCGACGAUACAUAGCCGACCUGAGAGGGUGAUCGGCCACACUGGGACUGAGACACGGCCCAGACUCCUACGGGAGGCAGCAGUAGGGAAUCUUCGGCAAUGGACGAAAGUCUGACCGAGCAACGCCGCGUGAGUGAAGAAGGUUUUCGGAUCGUAAAGCUCUGUUGUAAGAGAAGAACGGGUGUGAGAGUGGAAAGUUCACACUGUGACGGUAUCUUACCAGAAAGGGACGGCUAACUACGUG
rnacentral:rRNA from 1 species